GGGGAAUAUUGGACAAUGGGGGCAACCCUGAUCCAGCCAUGCCGCGUGAGUGAUGAAGGCCUUCGGGUUGUAAAGCUCUUUUGGCGGGGACGAUGAUGACGGUACCCGCAGAAUAAGCCCCGGCUAACUUCGUGCCAGCAGCCGCGGUAAGACGAAGGGGGCUAGCGUUGUUCGGAAUUACUGGGCGUAAAGCGCGUGUAGGCGGUUGUCCAAGUCGGGUGUGAAAGCCUUGAGCUCAACUCAAGAAAUGCACUCGAUACUGGGCGACUUGAGGACCGGAGAGGAUAGUGGAAUUCCCAGUGUAGUGGUGAAAUACGUAGAGAUUGGGAAGAACACCAGUGGCGAAGGCGGCUAUCUGGACGGUUACUGACGCUAAGACGCGAAAGCGUGGGGAGCAAACAGGA
rnacentral:rRNA from 1 species